AUAAUAAAUAUUAUUGUUUAUAGUCUUAAAAAAGUCAAAGAAUUCAUACUUUCUGAUACAAAAUAAGGUACAAAAAGGGAAAAGCUCCAAAAGACGUUUCCUAUGGAAUUCACGCGCAGGAUAUGAAAAGGACGACGACAAAGCCAGCAAAGGAAAAGACACACAAUCCACCUCAACUAUACGAGAGAAUAAUAUGCAACUUCUCACCGGAAACUUCCGUUGUAAAAAUAAUAAUCUCUAGACUAUACGCGGGACAAAAAAG